GUACAAAUCAACCUCCGAAUGAUUAUAGCCUAGACCCUACAAGUCAUAGCACUUAAAUCAUAAAUUGACCCAAGAAUAUUUGAUCAACGGAACA
rnacentral:rRNA from 1 species